UACGAGGGGGGCGAGCGUUGUUCGGAAUUAUUGGGCGUAAAGGGUGCGUAGGCGGUUUGGUAAGUCUUAUGUGAAAUCUACAGGCUCAACUUGUAGUCUGCAUGAGAAACUGCCGGGCUUGAGUAUGGGAGAGGUGAGUGGAAUUCCCGGUGUAGCGGUGAAAUGCGUAGAGAUCCGGAGGAACACCGACGGCGUAGGCAGCGCCCUGGCUGUGAAUAAAGCUGACACUGAGGCACGAAAGCUGGGGGAGCAAACAGG
rnacentral:rRNA from 1 species